rnacentral:rRNA from 1 species
ACGCUCGACACCUACGGGGGCAGCAGUUGGGAAUAUUGGACAAUGGAGGAAACUCUGAUCCAGUGACGCCGCGUGAAGGAAGAAGGUCUUCGGAUUGUAAACUUAUUUUGUCAGGGAAGAAAAAUGACUGUACCUGAAGAAAAAGCACCGGCUAACUACGUGCCAGUAGCCGCGGUAAUCUGAGCGGGCUGGCAAGGC